AAAUGAAUAGACGGGUCCCCGCACAAGCGGUGGAGUAUGUUGUUUAAUUCGACGAUACGCGAAAAACCUUACCAGGUCUUGACAUCUUCUGCAAAGCUAUAGAGAUAUAGUGGAGGUUAUCAGAAUGACAGGUGGUGCAUGGUUGUCGUCAGCUCGUGCCGUGAGGUGUUGGGUUAAGUCCCGCAACGAGCGCAACCCUUAUUGCUAGUUACCAUCAUUGAGUUGGGGACUCUAGCGAGACUGCCAGUGAUAAACUGGAGGAAGGUGGGGAUGACGUCAAAUCAUCAUGCCCCUUAUGACCUGGGCUACAAACGUACUACAAUGGCUAUUACAAAGGGAAGCAAGACCGCGAGGUGGAGCAAACCCCAUAAAGGUAGUCUCAGUUCGGAUUGAAGGCUGCAACUCGCCUUCAUGAAGUCGGAAUCGCUAGUAAUCGCAGAUCAGCAUGCUGCGGUGAAUACGUUCUCGGGGAUUGUACACACCGCCCGU
rnacentral:rRNA from 1 species